ACCAGACGUUACGGAGAUACGGAAGAAAGAGUGCAGAAAAUGCAAAUCAAGUUUUUGAGAGAACGGAGUAUCCGAUUUGAAUGAUCUAAAAAACAUUAAAUUUGUAAUGAUUGGGAGAAGAGGUGAUUAGUUUUUGGCAAGACAGGUCUAGCCAUUUCAAAGAUACAGAGAUAAAUGUGCAAAGACUAACAGUUUUUGAGAGUACUAAGCGUCCGAUUUGGAUGAUUCAAAAAACUUUCUGCUUGUUUUAACAAAAUAAUUGCUUUUGGCAAAAAAUUAUUUGUUUCAAUUUUUUUCCAAAACAAAUUUUUUAAAUUUUGUUUUAAAUUUUUUUUGUAUAUCGAAAAUAAUAUAAUUUUAAUUCUAACUAAAGUUUUAAUAUAUUUUAAAUAAAUAAUUUCAACUUUGAAAUGUAGUUUAUAUUAUUCUUAUAAAUAUUCGACAAUGUCACAGAGUAUUUAUAAUGAUCUAUUUGAAAACAUUUAAUAUUCCUCAAACAUUUCAUUGCGGUACGAGAAAUUCUAGUAAUUUGCCUUAAGGCACGAUGCCAUACACCACUAGUUGCUAUUCAAUCUUGGCUCCAUUUUUACACGGAUGACGGACCGCAUCUACGGAUGCGUGCUUGCAAUCCCGGGGCGUCUCACUCUCAUUGCGAGAAGAGACGCACUCAGAGCGUACACGCUAGGACCCGAAAGAUGGUGAACUAUGCCCGGUCAGGUGGAAGUCAGGGGAAAACCUGAUGGAGGACCGUAGCGAUUCUGACGUGCAAAUCAAUCGUCGGAACUGGGUAUAGGGGUGAAAGACUAAUCGAACCAUCUGGUAGCUGGUUCCCUCCAAAGUUUCACUCAGGAUAGCUGGCAUUCGAUAAGCGAGUCUCAUCCGUAAAGCGAAUGAUUAGAGGCCUUGGGGCCGAAACGACAUCAACCUAUUAUCAUUAAAUGGGUGAGAUCUCUGGCUUGUUUGAAUAGUAAAGCCAGAGAUUUAGAUUAGAGUGCCUAGUGGGCCACUUUUGGUAAGCAGAACUGGCGCUGUGGGAUGAACCAAACGUCAUGAAAGACGUUGGUUGCUCAAGACAGUAGGUCGGUGGCCAUGGAAGUUGGAAUCCAAUAAAGAGUGUGUACCAACUCACCUGCCAAAGCAACCAGCGCUGAAAAUGCAUGGCGCUGUAGCGUCGUGCCUAUACUCGGCCGCCAGGGCAUGAGAAGCAUUCAUAAUAGUUUGUUUUGACGCCCUGGUGAGUAGGAAGGUCGCGGUGAUGUGCGCAGAAGGGUUUGGGCGUAAGCCUGCCUGGAUCCGCCAUCGGUGCAGGUCUUGGUGGUAGUAGCAAGUACUCCAGCGAGGCCCUGGAGGACUGACGUAGAGAAGGGUUUCGUGUGAACAGCCGUUGCACACGAGUCAGUCGAUCCUAAGCCUCAGGAGAAAUCCUAUGUUGAUGUUGGUGUAUUUUAUUUUGAAUAAAAUUUCACACCCAUCGGGCGAAAGGGAAUCCGGUUCCUACACCGGAACCCGGCAGCGGAACCGUUUACAAGUCAGUCCCUCGCAAGAGAGUUCGUCAGGGUAAUCCAAAAUGACCUGGAGACGCCGUCGGGAAAUACGGGGAGAGUUUUCUUUUCUGUAUGAGCGUUCGAGUUCCCUGGAAUCCUCUAGAAGGGAGAUAGGGUUUGGAACGCAAAGAGCACCGCUGUUGCGGCGGUGUCCGUAUCUUUCCCUCGGACUUUGAAAAUCCAGGAGAGGGCCACGGUAGGUGUAGCGCCGGUUCGUACUCAUAUCCGCAGCAGGUCUCCGAGGUGAAGAACCUCUAGUCGAUAGAUAAAUGUAGGUAAGGGAAGUCGGCAAAUUGGAUCCGUAAGUUCGGGAUAAGGAUUGACUCUGAGGAUCGGGGCGUGCCGGGCCUGGACGAGGUAAAAUUGUCCUUGUGACUUAGAUCCGAGCUCGUUCCCGUGCCUAGGCCCCCCGCGGAUCUUUCUUGCUGCGAGGUUUCUGUACCGGCUUCGGUCGGUCAGAACUGACACGGACUAGUAGAAUCCGACUGUUUAAUUAAAACAAAGCAUUGCGAUGGCCCUAGCGGGUGUUGUCAUCUUCCAACUCUGGGGUAUGCCGUGCGAUCGGACACUGACUAAAUUCUGCUGUUCCCUAAAGAAGUAGGUUGCGGAAAUAACUUGCGAGGGAUUCUCUACAUCAGUGCUGAAUUGGAUCAGUAGCUAUAUAGAUCCGCUUUGCUGUUACUGAACUCCAGUACUGGUGGUUUUCUCUUGCCACAUCCGGUGGCGAUUUUGAUGGAAGGUGAUAGUGCGAUGGUAAAUCUUGUUAAUUCUGCGUCACUAUAGACGCUUGAUUGAAUUGUGGCAAUUAGGGUGCCAAUGUCUUGACACGGUGCUCUUGUCACGAGGAAAUUAAGCGUCUUAAUCGCGACUGGUCAAUAUCACACCAGGAAAUGUCCCACUUCCAUCAUCGUCAUCUAGCGUCAUCUAACUAGUGACGCGCAUGAAUGGAUUAACGAGAUUCCCACUGUCCCUAUCUACUUUCUAGCGAAACCACUGCCAAGGUAACGGGCUAGGAAAAAUUAGCGGGGAAAGAAGACCCUGUUGAGCUUGACUCAAGUCUGGCAUUGUAAGGAGACAUGAAAGGUGUAGCAUAAGUGGAAGAUAGUAAUAUCGUCGGUGAAAUGCCACUACUUUCAUCGUUUCUUUACUUACUCGAUUGGGCGGAAAGCGUGCGUCAAAAACUUGCGUUUCGACUGUCACGGUUUUCUGGGGCGGAACAUCUGUCAAAUAAUAACGCAGGUGUCCUAAGGCCAGCUCAGCGAGGACAGAAACCUCGCGUAGAGCAAAAGUGCAAAUGCUGGCUUGAUCCUGUUGUUCAGUGUGCUUUGAAGCGAAAGCACGGCAUAUCGAUCCUUAUGGCUUGAGAGUUUUCAGCAAGAGGUGUCAGAAAAGUUACCACAGGGAUAACUGUGGCAGCCAAGCGUUCAUAGCGACGUUGCUUUUUUAUCUUUCGAUGUUGGCUCUUCUCAUCAUUGCAAAGCAGAAU
rnacentral:rRNA from 1 species